rnacentral:rRNA from 1 species
AGCUCCAAUAGCGUAUAUUAAAGUUGUUGCAGUUAAAAAGCUCGUAGUUGGAUUUCGGAGUGGGCCAGUUGGUCCGCCGCAAGGUGUGUUACUGACUGGUUUGCUCUUCUUCGCAAAGACUGCGUGUGCUCUUCAGUGAGUGUGCGUAGGAUUUACGACGUUUACUUUGAAAAAAUUAGAGUGUUCAAAGCAGGCUAUUGCUUGAAUACAUGAGCAUGGAAUAAUGGAAUAGGACUUUGGUCCCAUUUUGUUGGUUUCUAGGGCCGAAGUAAUGAUUAAGAAGGACAAUUGGGGGAAUCCGUAUUUCGUUGUCAGAGGUGAAAUUCUUGUAUUUACGAAAGACGAACAACUGCGAAAGCACUUGCCAAGAGUGUUUUCA